GUUGGGCUGUUGGCUUAUUGCUUGAAUUCGAAAUUCAGAGACCUAGGUGUAGCGUAUAGCACUAGAUGGCGCACGGCGAAUAAGUUUUAGCCAUUGACAGCAGACAGCAUGUUACACGUCAUUUUGUUCUGGACAGAAGGAAGUGAUGUUUUCCUUCCAGAAAUCAUCGGUCGGCUUUAUUUAACGCGAAGCUGUUAAAGCAAACUCCAGACAAUAUAGAGUUCAAUCAAAACUCGUAUUAAGGAGGAAGGAGAGAAAACAAAACUUUAGAGUGACAAGAUGGAAAACGAAAUAAUGUUGGAUGGGUCGAGAAUCUGGAGAUAUCACUUCUGAACUUAACACUGAACAACCUGAAAUUCACUAAAUUUUUUGCUCAUUAGCCAACAAGGCAACAUCUGAUGAUUCUGAUGAUGCCAUGAUGGAAGAGAACACUUGGUGAAAGAUCAUAAUUUGGUUCAUGUUUACAUGGUGGGGUGGUGUUGCUGUCCAAUGUGGCGUGUUGUUGCAGCCUAUGGUGG